UUCCCAAUCAUGCUGACAUGGAUAUCAAACGAACGGUCUUCGAAAAAUCUUUGCGAUGGUACACACGUAAUGAACGUCAAACCAGGUGGGAAAAGGGUGUCACGUGACCUCACGUAUCUUUCGCUGGUCCAUGCGUGAUUCCCAACCAUAUUGACAUGGAUAUCAAACGAACGGUCUUCGAAGAAGCUUUGCGAUGGUACACACGUAACGAAUGUCAAACCAGGUGGGAAAAAGGUGUCACGUGACCUCACGUAUCUUUCGCUGGUCCAUGCGUGAUUCCCAACCAUAUUGACAUGGAUAUCAAACGAACGGGCUUCGAAGAAGCUCUACAAUGGUAAACACGUAACGAAUGUCAAACCAGGUGGGAAAAGGGUGUCACGUAACCUCACGUAUCUUUCGCUAGCCCAUGCGUGAUUCCCAACCAUAUUGACAUGGAUAUCAAACUAACGGGCUUCGAAGAAGCUCUGCG